AUGGACCCCGCGGUGUCGCUGCUGCUGUUACUCGCCCUCUCGCCCUGUGUCCGGUCCCAAAUCCAGCUGGUCCAGUCCGGGCCAGGCGCUGUGAAGCCCGGAGAGACCCUCACCCUGACCUGCGCUGUCUCGGGUUACACCAUCACUAGCGGUUACGGUUGGAACUGGAUCCGGCAGCCCCCUGGGACAGGGCUGGAGUGGCUGGUGUCGGGAUAUUACAGCAGUUCCAAGUGGAACACAGACUACAGCCCAUCCUUCCAGAGCCGGGUCACCAACUCCCUUGACUCUUCCAAGAACCAGUUCUCGCUGCAGCUCCGCUCGCUGACAGCUGCGGACACCGCCACCUAUUACUGCACCACACACGCACACAGUGACACCGAGCGCAGCAGGGCCCGUACAAAAAGGGGACGCGGUUUCUGUGCAGCCAUUCAGGGCGUUUGA